rnacentral:tRNA from 1 species
UAGAGGAUAGUGUAGAGGAAGCACUGGGAGUUUUGAUCUCCCCGGCAGGGGUUCGAGUCCCCUCUCUCUAA